rnacentral:rRNA from 1 species
UACGAAGGGGCUAGCGUUGCUCGGAAUUACUGGGCGUAAAGGGAGCGUAGGCGGACAUUUAAGUCAGGGGUGAAAUCCCGGGGCUCAACCUCGGAAUUGCCUUUGAUACUGGGUGUCUUGAGUAUGAGAGAGGUGUGUGGAACUCCGAGUGUAGAGGUGAAAUUCGUAGAUAUUCGGAAGAACACCAGUGGCGAAGGCGACGCACUGGCUCAUUACUGACGCUGAGGCUCGAAAGCGUGGGGAGCAAACAGGAUUAGAUACCCGGGUAGUCCCUGA